rnacentral:rRNA from 1 species
AUUGAACGCUGGCGGCGUGCUUAACACAUGCAAGUCGAUCGGUAACAGGUGUAGCAAUACAUGCUGACGAGAGGCGGACGGGUGAGGAAUAUUUGGGAAUCUGCCCAUCAGCGGGGGACAACCCGGGGAAACUCGGGCUAAUACCGCAUACGCUCUACGGAGGGAAGCCGGGGACCGCAAGGCCUGGCACUGAUGGAUGAGCCCAAAUCGGAUUAGCUAGUUGGCGGGGUAACGGCCCACCAAGGCGACGAUCCGUAGCUGGUCUGAGAGGACGAUCAGCCACACCGGAACUGAGACACGGUCCGGACUCCUACGGGAGGCAGCAGUGGGGAAUAUUGGACAAUGGGGGAAACCCUGAUCCAGCGACGCCGCGUGGGUGAAGAAGGCCUGCGGGUUGUAAAGCCCUUUCGGUAGGGAAGAAAUCUCUUGUCUUAACACGGCAAGGGUUUGACUUAACCUACAUAAGAAGCACCGGCUAACUCUGUGCCAGCAGCCGCAGUAAAAC